rnacentral:rRNA from 1 species
CGGGUGAGUAACGCGUGGGUAACCUGCCUCAUACAGGGGGAUAACAGUUGGAAACGACUGCUAAUACCGCAUAAGCGCACGGGAUUGCAUGAUCCAGUGUGAAAAACUCCGGUGGUAUGAGAUGGACCCGCGUCUGAUUAGCCAGUUGGCGGGGUAGCGGCCCACCAAAGCGACGAUCAGUAGCCGACCUGAGAGGGUGACCGGCCACAUUGGGACUGAGACACGGCCCAA